rnacentral:rRNA from 1 species
CUGAGAGUUUGAUCCUGGCUCAGAACGAACGCUGGCGGCAGGCUUAACACAUGCAAGUCGAACGAACUCUUCGGAGUUAGUGGCAGACGGGUGAGUAACGCGUGGGAAUAUACCUUUCGGUACGGAACAACAGUUGGAAACGACUGCUAAUACCGUAUGCGCCCUAUGGGGGAAAGAUUUAUCGCCGAAGGAUUAGCCCGCGUUGGAUUAGCUAGUUGGUGGGGUAAAGGCCUACCAAGGCGACGAUCCAUAGCUGGUCUGAGAGGAUGAUCAGCCACAUCGGGACUGAGACACGGCCCGAACUCCUACGGGAGGCAGCAGUGGGGAAUAUUGGACAAUGGGGGCAACCCUGAUCCAGCCAUGCCGCGUGUGUGAAGAAGGCUUUCGGGUUGUAAAGCACUUUCAGUGAGGAGGAAAACUCUGCGACUAAUACUCGUAGGGCUUGACGUUACUCACAGAAGAAGCACCGGCUAACUCCGUGCCAGCAGCCGCGGUAAUACGGAGGGUGCAAGCGUUAAUCGGAAUUACUGGGCGUAAAGCGCACGUAGGCGGAUCA